UACAGAGGGUGCAAGCGUUGUUCGGAAUUAUUGGGCGUAAAGGGAGUGUAGGCGGUUUGUUAAGUCUUCUGUGAAAUCUACGGGCUUACCCUGUAAAGUGCAGAGGAAACUAGCAGGCUUGAGUGUCGGAGAGGAUCGUGGAAUUCUCGGUGUAGAGGUGAAAUUCGUAGAUAUCGAGAGGAACACCGGUGGCGAAGGCGGCGAUCUGGACGAUGACUGACGCUGAGACGCGAAAGCGUGGGGAGCAAACAGG
rnacentral:rRNA from 1 species